AGCUUCAGGUCCCAUUCUAACUGCGUAUCUGGUCUGGCUUCGAUAUCUAGGCAAGCAGAAACCGUCAGUGAGACAGCAUCACUAAGGCCUCUUCUGAUCAGGCUUGGCGUGGCCGAGGCCUUGGCGACUUACCUUCCAGGGGUUUGGAAACGGGUGUGGUGCCUCUUGUUUUACCGCAAAUGGCUGAGGCUACUGGGGUUAUGGCAGUAGGUGACGCCAAACCUGUGGAACACACAGACGAGCUACUGAGCAUCUCAGGGUCACUUCUGGAAAUCUCCGGGACCCUGACCGAUCUCCAGGAGUCCCAGGGUAGACGGCACAACAUAUAAGAAUUUACACACAUGCAGGCACACACACACACAUUUCACACGUACCACGACUGUGGGACAACCAAC
rnacentral:lncRNA from 1 species